rnacentral:tRNA from 1 species
GGGAGUGUGGCUCAACGGUAGAGCACUUGCUUAGCAUGCAUAAAGUCCUGGGUUUGAUUCCCAGCACCAUUA